UAACACUAACUGGAGGACCGAACCGACUAAUGUUGAAAAAUUAGCGGAUGACUUGUGGCUGGGGGUGAAAGGCCAAUCAAACCGGGAGAUAGCUGGUUCUCCCCGAAAGCUAUUUAGGUAGCGCCUCGUGAAUUCAUCUCCGGGGGUAGAGCACUGUUUCGGCAAGGGGGUCAUCCCGACUUACCAACCCGAUGCAAACUGCGAAUACCGGAGAAUGUUAUCACGGGAGACACACGGCGGGUGCUAACGUCCGUCGUGAAGAGGGAAACAACCCAGACCGCCAGCUAAGGUCCCAAAGUCAUGGUUAAGUGGGAAACGAUGUGGGAAGGCCCAGACAGCCAGGAUGUUGGCUUAGAAGCAGCCAUCAUUUAAAGAAAGCGUAAUAGCUCACUGGUCGAGUCGGCCUGCGCGGAAGAUGUAACGGGGCUAAACCAUGCACCGAAGCUGCGGCAGCGACGCUUAUGCGUUGUUGGGUAGGGGAGCGUUCUGUAAGCCUGUGAAGGUGGCCUGUGAGGGUUGCUGGAGGUAUCAGAAGUGCGAAUGCUGACAUAAGUAACGAUAAAGCGGGUGAAAAGCCCGCUCGCCGGAAGACCAAGGGUUCCUGUCCAACGUUAAUCGGGGCAGGGUGAGUCGACCCCUAAGGCGAGGCCGAAAGGCGUAGUCGAUGGGAAACAGGUUAAUAUUCCUGUACUUGGUGUUACUGCGAAGGGGGGACGGAGAAGGCUAUGUUGGCCGGGCGACGGUUGUCCCGGUUUAAGCGUGUAGGCUGGUUUUCCAGGCAAAUCCGGAAAAUCAAGGCUGAGGCGUGAUGACGAGGCACUACGGUGCUGAAGCGACAAAUGCCCUGCUUCCAGGAAAAGCCUCUAAGCAUCAGGUAACAUUAAAUCGUACCCCAAACCGACACAGGUGGUCAGGUAGAGAAUACCAAGGCGCUUGAGAGAACUCGGGUGAAGGAACUAGGCAAAAUGGUGCCGUAACUUCGGGAGAAGGCACGCUGAUAUGUAGGUGAAGCGACUUGCUCGUGGAGCUGAAAUCAGUCGAAGAUACCAGCUGGCUGCAACUGUUUAUUAAAAACACAGCACUGUGCAAACACGAAAGUGGACGUAUACGGUGUGACGCCUGCCCGGUGCCGGAAGGUUAAUUGAUGGGGUUAGCGGUAACGCGAAGCUCUUGAUCGAAGCCCCGGUAAACGGCGGCCGUAACUAUAACGGUCCUAAGGUAGCGAAAUUCCUUGUCGGGUAAGUUCCGACCUGCACGAAUGGCGUAAUGAUGGCCAGGCUGUCUCCACCCGAGACUCAGUGAAAUUGAACUCGCUGUGAAGAUGCAGUGUACCCGCGGCAAGACGGAAAGACCCCGUGAACCUUUACUAUAGCUUGACACUGAACAUUGAGCCUUGAUGUGUAGGAUAGGUGGGAGGCUUUGAAGUGUGGACGCCAGUCUGCAUGGAGCCGACCUUGAAAUACCACCCUUUAAUGUUUGAUGUUCUAACGUGGGCCCCUUACCGGGGUUGCGGACAGUGUCUGGUGGGUAGUUUGACUGGGGCGGUCUCCUCCUAAAGAGUAACGGAGGAGCACGAAGGUUGGCUAAUCCUGGUCGGACAUCAGGAGGUUAGUGCAAUGGCAUAAGCCAGCUUGACUGCGAGCGUGACGGCGCGAGCAGGUGCGAAAGCAGGUCAUAGUGAUCCGGUGGUUCUGAAUGGAAGGGCCAUCGCUCAACGGAUAAAAGGUACUCCGGGGAUAACAGGCUGAUACCGCCCAAGAGUUCAUAUCGACGGCGGUGUUUGGCACCUCGAUGUCGGCUCAUCACAUCCUGGGGCUGAAGUAGGUCCCAAGGGUAUGGCUGUUCGCCAUUUAAAGUGGUACGCGAGCUGGGUUUAGAACGUCGUGAGACAGUUCGGUCCCUAUCUGCCGUGGGCGCUGGAGAACUGAGGGGGGCUGCUCCUAGUACGAGAGGACCGGAGUGGACGCAUCACUGGUGUUCGGGUUGUCAUGCCAAUGGCACUGCCCGGUAGCUAAAUGCGGAAGAGAUAAGUGCUGAAAGCAUCUAAGCACGAAACUUGCCCCGAGAUGAGUUCUCCCUGACUCCUUGAGAGUCCUGAAGGAACGUUGAAGACGACGACGUUGAUAGGCCGGGUGUGUAAGCGCAGCGAUGCGUUGAGCUAAUCGGUACUAAUGAACCGUGAGGCUUAACCUUACAACGCCGAAG
rnacentral:rRNA from 1 species